rnacentral:lncRNA from 1 species
AGAGAACAGACUAAUACAAACUUCUAGCAACACUGACAAAGGAAAAAACAGAGAAGUCACAAACUACCAACAUCAGGAAUAAAAAGGGUGACAUACCGUAGAAAUUAAAAGAAUAAUAAGAGGAUGUUGCAAACGAUUCUACACACAUAAAUUCAAUAACAGAUAAAAUGGAGCACUUCUGCAAACCACAAACUAACAACUCACUCAAGAUGAAAUAGAAAACCUGGGGAAAAUUGAAUUAGGAGUUAAAAAUCACCUGAAAAAGAAAUCUUCAGGCUCCAGGCUCUUGCGUUAUUAGGGAUAUGUGCCCACUUCAGUGACCUGAGUCCUGGAUAUCUCCCACACUUGACCUUCCAAGAAGUGGAAUCCCUCACACCCACUUAUAAUACAAGCUGUUGAUGCUGCUAUUGAUAAAGAUAUUUGUUUACUGCUGACUGUGAUGAGAUAUGUUGGGACCUUUUCUUCCCAGUUUACACCAAAUACAUAGAAGAGGUGACUUUUCCUAGCGUUCCUCAGAUUCUCUUUGGCCAUGGCUAUGUCUCUUUGGAACAAGACUAGAUGCUCUAAGAACUUCUGCUGAACAGCUUGUACAGCCCGAGAGGAGAAGGAGGGAAGGCAAGGAGACAUCCAGGGCCUGGCUGAGACAUCUCAUGUUCUCUCCCAUCCCUGGGAACUUCCCAUCUGUGUGCAGGGGAUUGUCUGUGUCAUGAAGAACCAACAUGGCACUGACCACCAAUCAGUCACCAGACACCACAAAGAGUUGUCGGCAAAUGGCGAGACCUCCCCUGCUGCCCCUUGGAGAACAGGAAAUAGAGUCACUCGGCAGUUUUCAGGAGGAUAAUACUUCAGGACACAAGCUUUGGAGUCAGACAGACUUGAGUUUGCAUCUCAGUUCUGAUGCUUGCUAGUUGUGCCCCCUUGAGCAGUUUGCUUAAUCUCUCUGAGCCUCCAUUUCAUCAUCUAUGCAUUGAGAAUAAUGCUCACCUCACAAGAUUAUUAUGAGAAAUAGGUGAGCAAUAUAUGACAAGCACUUGGCAUGCUGAGUGAUUCAAGUAUUUAAUUAGUGGAAGCUGCUAUUAUUACUACUACCGCCUCUAUUAAUGGUGUCUUUCCCCGCAAGUAGCAACACCUCCUGGCUUCUAUAGUAACACUGAUGUUCUUACCUUGAAAAACUUUCAAGUCAUCUUGGCCUCUCCCUCAGUCCCCACAUCCAAAGUCACCAGGUCUUAUCAAUCCAUCCUCUCCUUUGCAUCUCCAUUGCCACUCCUCUAGUUUAUAGCUUCACUAACUCUCACCUUGACCUUCACUCAGUAAAUGUCUAUUAAAGCACCUACUGUGUGCUGGGCAUGGUGUAAAAUACACACAUGUAAAAUAUCUCAAAAUAUGUAUAAUCUGGUGGUAUGGCAAGGAAAUACAGACAUUUAGACAGGUAACCAGAAUGCAAGGCCAAAUGAAACAGCAUGGAAUAUUUAGAAAGGUUUCACAUACAUAUGAUUCAACAACAACAAAAAAGAUGUACAGGAAGGUUUCACAGAGGCAUUGCCCCUUGAGGGGAAACUUGAACAAUUAAUAAAAAGAAGAAAAAAAAGGCAUUACAGUCUGAGAAAACAGCAUGAGCAAACACAAGACCUCAAGAAUUAUGUCACGUGGAGAAAAUGCUGAGUUAUACAGUGGGACCAGAGUGGGUGGGGAGGACAGAGCCACAGCUGAAGUCGGAAGCAGUCAGUCAGGGGAGUGGAGUGCUUCCAAUUCCCCUUCAAUGUGGAUUCCUCCUGCCUCAAGGUGGAUUCCCCUUAAAAGUCUGCCUCCUCCCCUAAAGGCUGUACAGCUAUAGACAAAGUACUUACCUUCCCUGAGACUCAUUUGUAAAAUGCAGACAACAAAAUACCUACUUCAUGCUGUUCUUGAGGGGAUUAAAUGAAAUAAUGUAGGUAAAGAACUUUACACAAUGCCUAGACUAUAGUAGGCACUUCACAGAUGGUAGUUACUGUUUUCCUAGGAAGCUGUCAUGGACUGAAUGUUUGUGUUUCACAAAAAUGUGUAUGUCAAAGCACUAACCCACAGUCUGGCUCUAUUUGGAGAUGGGGCCUCUAUGGAACUAAGGUUAAAUGAGGUCAUAGGGUGUGACCCUGGAGUCUUGAUUCAAAAGGAUUAGCCUUUAUAGAAAGAAACACCAGAGAGCUUGCUCUCUCUCUCCAUGAGCACCACCAAGUAAAGGCCACAUAAGCACACAGUAAGAAGGUGGCCAUUUGCAAGCCAUCUGCCCUCACCAGAAACUGAACUGGCCAGAACCUUGAACUUCUAGCCUCCAUAACUGUGAGGAAAUAAAUUUCUGUUGUUUAAGCCCCAAGUCUAUGGUAUUUUAUUAUGGCAGCUCAAGCUGACUAGUACGGAGGCCUUGAAUGGCAUUUUAAGGGGUUUAUUCUUUAUUUUGUGGACAAUGGAGAUGCCUUAAACAUUUCUGAGAAGGCAAGAAUUAACAUUUAUAUCUGACUAUCUGAGAGUUGAAGAGUAAUGGGGAUGUCCUCUUUACUGACCUCCUGCACCCUGCCCCUGCCUCUUCCCAUCCAUUCAUGACAACCAGUCUAUGAUUAAUAUCUCCAAUAUGGCUCAGAUGAGCUGCUCAAAAUGUUGGCCUAUAGAAUACAGCCUGGAUCCCUUAGUUUGGCAUUCAAGCUGGGAAGAUCAGACCCUGGCUUUUGCCACAUUUGUGUCUUUGCUCAAACUGUUCCUUCCACCAAUAAUAUUAUUUCCUACUGUUUUCAGACAGAAUCCAAUUUAUCCUUUAAGACCAAUGCCCAUGCCACUUGUCUUAUGAUGUCUCCUCUCCACUGAACCCCUACCGUUUAUGCCUCUAGCAUGUCACGGUGGUCAACCUCUCUAUUCUAAAUAAUGUUGUUUAUAGCUCCUCUAGUAGACUGUAAUGACCUGAGGUCAAUUUUUGUGGCUUUCACAUUACAUGGCACAGAAAAGAAUUUGAAGGAGGUAUGAGGGAAAAUCUAUAAAGCAGGAGAGAAAAACAUUAGGCUUACAUAGGAGAGAGACAGUCUGGAAGAGAAGAGGGUUUUUGAGAGCAAAAACUCUUAUUGAAAGGAGAAUUAGAGUCACUUGAUGUGGGUGUGCAUUGUGAAACAGAUGAAUUUCCCUGCACCCCAAUUCCCUACAGAGUCUCCAUCUCCAUUAUACUCCCAUACACGUGAAUUCUCUGAAAUUCCCAUGAGAUACUAGAUGGGAAAGAUGGUUAUUGGGUGACAAUAAUCAUAAUCAUAGUUAACAUCUGUUGAAGACAUACCUGGUGCCUGGCGCUGGGCUACAGUACAGGUUUUCAGUAUUCCAUAUGUUAUGUUCUUUUUUAGUCCUGAAAUGCCUGUCUUUCUGUUGAUAUAAUGUGGCCAUUUAAGUGUUCUUUUCAUCUGAAAUUUUAUUCAGAGAUUUAUCCAGAGGAUUAUAUGCUGCAUUAAAACAAUGAGUUCAGUCAGGGAGCAUUCAUUUAGAAAGUUUCUAACCCUAUCCCUCCUCUGUUUAAGACUAAUAUUAAGACCCUUACUUAAGACUCAGGCACUUACAUCACUGUAGUUUUAAUUCCAACUUUCUGGCUUACUAAUGAGGAAAAACAACUUUUAUUUUGAUUUUGAAAACAUCUAUUAAAUCCCUAUAAAAUAUCUUGGUUUUUUUAAAAAUACAUCUGAGAUAAUCUUUCCCUACACAUAUUUUAAAAACCUUAAAACCUUUUCCUUUUUUUAAAAUGUUUUAUUUCCAUACGUUUUGGGGGGAAUGGGUGAUGUUUGGUUACAUAAGUUCUUUGCUGGUGAUUUGUGAGAUUCUGGUGCACUUAUCUCCAGAGCAGUAUACACUGAACCCACUUUGUAGUCUUUUAUCCCUCACUCCCUUUCCACCCUUUCCCCUGAGUCACCAAAGUCCAUUGUAUCAUUCUUAUGCCUUUGCAUCCUCAUAGCUUAGUUCCCACUUAUGAGUGAGAACAUACGAUGGACAAACAACUUUUUUAUGUCAUUAGUCAUUUCUAUAUUUGCACCCCAGUCUAUCAGAGUCACUGGUGAAAACUGGCAAAGGGUGAAGGAGAACUCAGAGAGGAAGAGGCUAGGUGCCCAGGAUUAAUCCCAGCCCUUGGCAUGGAGCCUGCCUGCCUCCUUUUUCCCAGGACCCAGUUCUGUCUCCUUCCCUCCCCUCUAUUCCUCCAAGGCCAGCCCCAACCUUUCCUAAGAUUUUUAUUUUAUCUAAAAACUUCCCAAUAAUUCUACUUGGAGAUACUUAAGCCAGGAGGACAAAGGAUACACAGUCACAAGCCUGGCGUACUCGCAAGUGAAACAACACCCAGAGACAAAAUUUAUUUUUAAAUAAAAUAUGGAGAUUUCUGGUUACAUGAAAUAAAUAUACAAAUUACCAGUAUUCUCAAUGGGCUUCGAUGUGUGCAGUUAGUAGCCAUGCCCUUUGCUGAGAACUCUACUUGCAUUAUCUAUGUCAGUCCUCAUGGAGGGGGGUGCUGAAUAAUUACUAUCUAUCUCCUUUAGCAAUGGGAAGGGUAGGAAGUUACCCUGGGUAGAUGGCGCAGGACACUGAGAGUCCUGUUUUAAUUUUGACACAAGGAAAAGAGAUUUUGCUAUAUGCCCUCAGCUAGCUUAGGUAGGAAAGGGAGAAUCUCCCUUCUUAUUUUAAUCAAUAUGUGACUGAUUUAAAGGAGCCUCAGAGGCCUUUAGCACUAACAAGGCCCAAUCUCUAGGAAUUUAAGAAUGACAGUGAGUCUGGCACUGUGAGGAGCCUGAUGCAUGAUACCACCGGGGCGCUGAAAGAACACGGCUUAUAUCACAUCUCACACCCUGCCUAGAGAAAGCCACUUUUAUUCUAGGCCAAAUUCCAAAGUGAAACUGGCAAUGGAUUUGUUAUAAUGUUAAAGUUAAAUAAAAU